GACGAACGCUGGCGGCGCGCCUAACACAUGCAAGUCGAACGAGCGAGAGGAGGUUUCCUUUCUCCAGCGAGUGGCGAACGGGUGAGUAACGCGUGAGGAACCUGCCUCAAAGAGGGGGACAACAGUUGGAAACGACUGCUAAUACCGCAUAAGCCCACGACCCGGCUUCGGGUAGAGGGAAAAGGAGCAAUCCGCUUUGAGAUGGCCUCGCGUCCGAUUAGCUAGUUGGUGAGGUAAUGGCCAACCAAGGCGACGAUCGGUAGCCGGACUGGGAGGUUGAACGGCGACAUUGGGACUGAGACACGGCCCAGACACCUACGGGAGGCAGCAGUGGGGAAUAUUGAACAAUAGGGGAAACCCUGAUGCAGCGACGCCGCGUGGAGGAAGAAGGUCUUCGGAUUGUAAACUCCUGUUGUUGAGGAAGAUAAUGACGGUACUCAACAAGGAAGUGACGGAUAACUACGUG
rnacentral:rRNA from 1 species